AGCCCUGAGUCUUUAAUGCAGAUGGAGCCAGGCUGGGAAAAGAAGCAGCAGACAUUUCUAACCUUCCUCAAGGCCACCAACCCUUGUGAAAGAAGCACAGAUAUAAUUUCCCAGCUGCCAAGCCAUUCUCCAAUAGACAAAGUUGUUGAAACCUCACUUACGGUGAAUCUCCACAGCCCUCCAAGGUCGUCGCUCCUCUCAAAGCAGGUGAAAUCUCUUCUGAAAUCUGGAUAUGCAUCUUUUGUUUUUUUUUUUGCAUUAGGAACCUGAGAGAAGCAGCUCAAC